rnacentral:rRNA from 1 species
CAAUAGCGUAUAUUAAAGUUGUUGCGGUUAAAAAGCUCGUAGUUGGAUUUCUGUUGUGGGCAGCCGGUCCACACUAUGUGUGAGUAUCUGGUUUGACCACGGCAUCCUCCUGAUGAACGUAGUGUGCUUUGCUGCAUGGUACGGCUCUCAGGACUUUUACUUUGAGGAAAUUAGAGUGUUCACGGCAGGCGUUUGCCUUGAAUAUAUUAGCAUGGAAUAAUGAUCUAGGCGACCGAGUCUAUUUUGUUGGUUUCUAGACUCAGUCGAAUGGUUAAUAGGGACAGUUGGGGGCAUUCGUAUUAUGACGUCAGAGGUGGAAUUCUUGGAUUGUCAUACGACGAACUACUGCGAAAGCAUUUGCCAAGGAUGUUUUCAUUGAUCAAGAACGAAAGUAAGGGGAUCGAAGACGAUCAGAUACCAU